rnacentral:rRNA from 1 species
UACGUAGGGAGCAAGCGUUGUUCGGAUUUACUGGGCGUAAAGGGCGCGUAGGCGGCAUGACAAGUCACUUGUGAAAUCUCUGAGCUUAACUCAGAACGGCCAAGUGAUACUGCAGUGCUAGAGUGUGGAAGGGGCAAUCGGAAUUCUUGGUGUAGCGGUGAAAUGCGUAGAUAUCAAGAGGAACACCUGAGGUGAAGACGGGUUGCUGGGCCAACACUGACGGCUGAGGCGACGAAAGCCAGGGGAGCAAACGGG